UCAACUCCGAUGAGGGCAUGACGUUAAGA
rnacentral:sRNA from 1 species